UUUUGUCUCAGGACUCGUUUGCACAGGUGUUCAACAUUCACUCUCAUGGUGAUGAUGAUGAUGAGGAAGCUGCUGCACCUGGUCAGAACCAGGCGGCGUGGACUCAAACACGAACUGAGACGACAGAUGAUCUUCAUCCUCACUGUCCCCCACAAAUGUUCCAGCUGCUGCAGUGUUGUAGCUGCGCUGCCUCUCCAGUUCACCUCUGCACCGUAGCCUUAAGGAAAUGGCUUUUGGACUCGAUGCCAGGGGUGCUGCCAGAGGGAGGAAAAGGGCGAGUACUCUGAUGAAUCUCGAUGAAGGUCAAAAGUCACAUUUCGUCAGGAGACAGGUGAGAAAAAAAAAGAGCCUCCCCCUUGUGCACAAGAAAACCGGUCAGAAGUCACCUCCAUUUACAGUGUCGUCGUUAUUUGCAGGAAGUGACACGUGUCACAUCAGAGAUUCUGCCGGCGCAGGCGAGCGAGCCGCCGGGUCGUCGGGUCACCUCAGCGACGCCCACCGACUUAUAACCAAUCAGAACCCGGGGACGGAGCUUAUCAGGUGAGGCUUGAUGGACACCACAUGUAACACAUAACUGCAUCAUUUAAAGGAUCAGGUCACCAGAAUCACAAAUGUAUUUCUCACUUACACUUAACUCUUGGUAAUUAAUGAAGCUUUUCUUUUCUGGUCAUCUGAAGUGUUUUAGAGGGAAAAAUCAUUUUGCCUUGUUUAUAUUAUUCUUUUUAAUCUGUGAAAAAAAGUUUUUGCAAGUACAAUCUUUCGAAGAGUCUCUCAUUUUUUGCCAUCUGAGGUAAAAAAGGGAAAAAAAAUUCCUGAAAGUUUUUCUAAAGAAAUUUCUUGAGGAAUAUUUGGAGAAAGGAUUCUUGAGAAUUUUUGGAAAAAAUAUUUUGAGGAACUUUUUUUUUUUUGCACUCAGGUUUCAGGAAACCAAAACAGAUUCAUAAUACAUUUUCUCAAGAAUCUUUUUUCCAAAACUUGAGUGAAUGUUUUAAUGUUUUACUUAUUUAUCUAUUAUAAUCUUUCUAAGUUCCUUAUUUAUCUGUUUUUCUUCUUUGAGAACACUAGAAAAAAAAAAUUCUGAACAUUUUGAGGAAAAGAAAUCCUGAAACAUUUGUAGAAACAUUCCUGAUCAUAAAAUACUGAACCUAUCCUUACGAAACAACAUCUUUCUCUCUUGAAAAUUAUUUUUCAUGAGAAUAUUUUUUUUUGUGUGAAAAAAGAUUCUCAACAAUCUUUGGGAAAAGGAUUCUUGAAAAUUUAUGCGAAAAAAUCCUGUAAUUUAUGGAAAGAAGAUUCCUGAAAUUUAGUGGGAAAAAUUCUUGAAAUUAUUUAUUUUUUGGGGAAAUAAAUUGCUGAACAAAAAAACAAUCUCUUCUUUUCCACUUGAAAAUGCUUUUUUGGGGGGGAAAAAAGAUACUUCGGAAGAUUUUUCCCCAAGAUUCUCAGGAAAGUUUUUUCAAAAGAUUCUGAGGAAAGUUUUUCCGGGAGAAAAGAAAUUUCCAUACCUUUUUGGAGCACUAUCAAGCAUGCUCUAGCAUGUUUAAAACUUUUUUUUUCUCAGUAAAAAGAAUUCCUUAAAUUGUGAGAAAAGGAUUUCUUUUCAUGUGUGAAACUGAGUGAAAAAAACAUUUUCAGAAGAAAAAAGAUCAAGUUAAUCUUUCAAAGUUUUUUCAUCAGAAUCAGAAGAAAGUUUUUACAUGUGAGAAACUUGAAGAAUUCAGCAGAUCUUUUUUUUUGUCAUGUUUCACACAUCAAAUACUUUUAUUCAUGAAUUUCCACAGAUGGAAAAAAAUAUUGGGGAAUUUAAAGAUUAUCAUGGCAAAACUUUUUUUUUGUUUUAAAGUAAUACACACAGGUGAGAAAAUAGUUUAGCUUUUAUGUGAUCAGGAUCAGAGACAUCUGCCCGUUAAACUUCUGCUGCCACCCCUAAAAAAGUCUCUCCAUCAGCGACGUCUCUGAGUCUAAAUGAUCCACAAACUGCACAGUGGACAGAUUUUGUCGGAGCUACUUCUGUUAUAUAUAAAUUAUGUAUAUAUGUCAAUAAUGCAAUGUUAAGGAGUCAUUGAAUGAAGUCAAAGAAGAAUUUCGGUUAUCUUUAUUGUGUUUGGAUGGCAGCAGCAGCAGCUCAACAUCUCUAAACCUGGACAAAAAUGUCUCCAUGAGAGGUCCAACGCUGAUUCAAAAAGCUGGGACACCGUGUGAAACGUAAAGCAAAACAGAAUACGAGCAUUGGAGCUUCUGUUGCUCCUGUCCCAUCUUAUUUGAAACUAAAAUUCAGAUUAAGUGUAAAACUCAUGAAACUCAUAGGAAACAUUAACUAUAUUGUCUUUGUACUGUUCUCAGUUGAGUCCAUGUAAAAAAAGGAUUAGCAAACGAUCAUAUUCUGUUUUAUCUGUUUUACGCAGCAUCCCAACUUCCUCUGGGUUCUGGGUUGUAAGUGAGAAAAGGUUUGUGAUUCACAUGACAUUUGUGUUACGUUACUUUUAGAUCCUUACAACCCUGCAAAAAAACCAAACAUUUGGGCUCUUUAUUCCAAAAUCACACGGGCAUCAAUGAAGAACGGUAACAGUUUUUUUUUUUUUCCUCGCUGUAGAACUUGGCAGGCAGAUCCCCAACAAAUCGUGUGCUGCUGUGACAAUAUUACGAGCUUAUACUGUGAGCGUUUUUAGGUCCAACUUGAACGAGAGUGUGUCUGGUUCGUCGGGGCGACACACGCUGUUCUGUCUUUGUGGUAAAAUCAGCACGUCGUGUCGUUUUUUAAUAAUGCAAUAAAACAAAUGGGUGUUUCUUCAGGUAACUCAACUCACUGGCAGUGCUGAAGAUGACACAUGACCCGGCACGGCCUCGUGAGCGCAACACUUUUUCACAGACGUGUCCGCUCCGCAAAGCAGAGCUGUGCUUUCACAGUACAUGUUGUAGAUCCUCUGGUGUCCCACUUGAGAGUGAAGAGUCCCGGCAGG